AACUGGAGUCUGGAGGUCUGAGGGUUCUGACUUCUGAACAAGGCAACGAAAAGUAGCAAAUGUUUAUGCAAUUCGUAACUGGCUUCCAAAUUUACAGUUCUGCAAUUCAACGGCCUCUUUGGGCUACCAGCCGGUGUCGCAUUCGCACCAGGUGCAACUUUUCCAAUUCAUCUUAUCCACAUCAGGUACUCCAGUAUAUAGACGAGGAGUGUGGCGAUUUCUUACCAUGGUUAAGGCAGAAGUCUGGGGCCGAAAUUUCGUCCGUCCUCUCAAUUGGGAAGUCAAUUUAUGGCAGGUCAUUGUUUGCUUGUAAACCGAUACAAGCUGGUGAUUGCAUAUUGAAGGUUCCUUACAGUGUGCAAUUGGCCCCGGAUAAUCUGCAUCCUUCAAUAAAUUCUUUGUUGGGUGAGGACGUCGGCAAUGUUGCAAAGCUUGCUUUGGUCAUCCUACUGCACCAAAGAUUUGGUGAGGCUUCUGAAUGGGCCCCUUACAUCAGUUGUUUGCCACGUGUCGAAGAUAUGCAUAGCACGGUAUUAUGGAGUGAUGAGGAAUUGAAGAUGAUCAAGAUAAGUUCUCUAUAUCACGAAACAUUGAAACAUAAAGGUCAAAUUGAAAAGGAUUUCUCCUCCAUAAAACAUGUUCUUGACAGUUUCCCUGAAUACUUUGAUGGUGUCACAUUGCACGAAUUCAAGCAUGCAUAUAAUCUAGUUGAAUCUCGAGGUUGGGUCAGCACAAGGGGUGUUUCAAUGAUUCCUUUUGCAGAUUUCUUUAACCAUGAUGCUAACUCAGAAACCGAUGUGUUGAGUGAUGACUUUAAACAAGUGUCAGAGGUUAUUGCUGAUGAAAAUUAUGCUCCUGGUGAUGAGGUUCUUAUAAGAUACGGGAAGUUUUCCAAUGCUAGACUUUUAUUGGACUUUGGAUUUAUAAUUCCCCGCAACAAAUAUGAUCAAGUCAAAGUCGAGGUCAAUGCACCUCCGAAUGAUCACCUGCAUGCAUUGAAGUUGGAUCUUUUGCAUAGACACACAACACCAUCACUGAAAGAUGUUAAUGAUUUAAGUUCACAGGAAAAUGGCUUCAUGGUGAUGGAAGUUAAGUCUUCAAGUGGCAAAGGGAGGGGAAUCCCACAGUCACUUCGUGCACUUGCUCGUGUUCUAUGUUGCACUUCUCCCCAAGGUCUAAGAUAUUUUUUGCCGCUGUAUUAAUAUGGCUGUCCAAAAAGCUCGCGGUUCGGAGCUCGCUUGAAGCUCGCUCAGAUUUAGCUCGGAAAAAGCUCGCUCGAUGUGGCUCGGUUUGAAAGUGAGCCGAGCCGGCUCGGCUCAUCAGAAAGUGAAUCUAGCUCGGCUCGGCUCUUAACGAGCCGAAUUGGCUCGGUUUGGCUCGCAUACCAGCUCGGCUCGGCUCGGCUUAGCUCGUAUAAACUUGCUUUUAAUAUAUUUUAUUUAUAUAUAUUAUCACAAAAAAACUGAUUAUUAUUUACAUGUAAUUAGGAGUAUAAUUUGAUAUCUAUAACAUAUUUGAAGGUUGAUUACCAUGCUAAUGAACUUAUAUUGUAUUUCGUUGAAAUUAAGAACUUAUUUUGUGUUGUUAAACUUGAGCUUAUUUUAGAUAUAUUCUUUUGAAUUAUUGAAUAAUAUCUUAAAAUACUGAAUUUUGAAAGCCAUGUAUUAGUUUUUGAUUUCAAAAUCGAGCCGAGCUAGCUCGGUUUAAAACCAAGCCGAGCCCGAGCUUAGAUUUCCAGCUCGGUUUAUAAUCGAGCCGAGCCUGAGUUUUGCCCUGGCUCGGCUCGGUUCGGCUUGUGACAGCCAGCCCUAGCUAUUAUGUUAGUUUGAUUCACAUGUUACUUCUUUUCUGCUGAGUUGCAAGAUUUGGCUAUGGAAGCAACACAAAAUGACGGCCGCCUGGCAAGAAUUCCAUUGAAGAACAGGGAUAGAGAAGUGGAAGCACAUCAGUUAUUGCAUUCGAGAUUCAGUCACAUGAUUGAAAAUUAUAAAGCAGCCCUUGAGUCUCUAACUCACCACAGCUCUGAAAAACACAGACGAAGGAUGCAGCUGGCUCGAGAUUUCCUCACUGGGGAGCUUCGGAUCCUUGAAUCUGCUUCUUCAUGGCUGAAAAACUACUGUCAAACUUUGAAACAAAGAGAAUCUGUGUAAAGUAGACAGAGAUGAAAAAAAAUAUACGUCUAUAAAUUUUAUAAACUUUAGGUUAAUUAAGAAUGUAAAAGCCUAAAAGGUGAAAAAGAAUAUUAUUUUUUGAUGUGGAGAGGUGUUAACAAGCUAAACUGAAACAGGUAACAAGGUUAGAGUUUGGCUUCUGGGUCUGGUUCUAAACUUAAAAACUUUGUUUGGCCAACUCCAGACUGUAGUUUGAGCUACUCCUUACCAAGUUGUAAAUGGUUUGAUUUCAGCUGGCUUAGCGAAA